CCUACGGGCGGCAGCAGUGAGGAAUAUUGGUCAAUGGCCGCAGGGCUGAACCAGCCAAGUCGCGUGAGGGAUGACGGUCCUAUGGAUUGUAAACCUCUUUUGUCAGGGAGCAAAGGGCGCCACGUGUAGCGCUUUGCGAGUACCUGAAGAAAAAGCAUCGGCUAACUCCGUGCCAGCAGCCGCGGUAAUACGGAGGAUGCGAGCGUUAUCCGGAUUUAUUGGGUUUAAAGGGUGCGCAGGCGGAAUGUCAAGUCAGCGGUAAAAUUUCGGGGCUCAACCCCGUCGUGCCGUUGAAACUGGCGUUCUUGAGUGAGCGAGAAGUAUGCGGAAUGCGUGGUGUAGCGGUGAAAUGCAUAGAUAUCACGCAGAACUCCGAUUGCGAAGGCAGCAUACCGGCGCUCAACUGACGCUCAUGCACGAAAGCGUGGGUAUCGAACAGGAUUAGAUACCCCAGUAGUC
rnacentral:rRNA from 1 species